GAUGAAGAACGCAGCGAAAUGCGAUAAGUAAUGUGAAUUGGAGAAUUCAGUGAAUCAUCGAAUCUUUGAACGCACAUUGCGCCCGUCAGUAUUCUGGCGGGCAUGCCUGUUCGAGCGUCAUUACGCCCCUCAAGUCCCCUGUGGACUUGGUGUUGGGGAUCGGCGAGGCUGGUUUUCCAGCACAGCCGUCCCUUAAAUUAAUUGGCGGUCUCGCCGUGGCCCUCCUCUGCGCAGUAGUAAAACACUCGCAACAGGAGCCCGGCGCGGUCCACUGCCGUAAAACCCCCCAACUUUUUAUAGUUGACCUCGAAUCAGGUAGGACUACCCGCUGAACUUAAGCAUAUCAAUAAGCGGAGGA
rnacentral:misc_RNA from 1 species